rnacentral:tRNA from 1 species
GGAGAGAUACUCAAAUCGGCUAAGAGGGCGCCCCGCUAAGGCGUUAGGACAGCAAUGUUGUGUGGGUUCGAGUCCCACUCUCUCCG